GCUGGACGUGGUGGCACACAUUUGUAAUCCCAGUAGCUUGGGAGGCUGAGGCAGGAGGAUCGCGAGUUCAAAGCUAGCCUCGGCAAAAGUGAGGCCCUAAGCAACACAGUGAGACCCUGUCUCUA
rnacentral:sRNA from 1 species